UAUAAUAUUUUAAAAUUUUGAUUUAUUAUUAUAUGUAAUUAACAUAAAUGAUUCUUCUAUUGAUGUCCCGAAGACCGAAUGAAAUUUGUAUUUAAACAAAUGAUUGAAUGAAAUUAGCAACUUUAUCAAAUACAAAAUUUAUAAGUUAUGCUUUUUUGAUAAAGUUGAAUGAAUCAAAUUCGAGUUUGGGUUGAUCCUAUUCCGACCCAUGCGCAGAGUGACACAUAGCUUUUAGCAGAUUUUGUAAUAAAAUAAGUGAGACAACCUUAUAAUAUUAAAAUGGUUCUAGCAUUAUAUUCAAACAAAACUAAUUUUUCGCAAAUAGGCACCACAAAGAUUAAAUUUAAGUAGGGGACAAGAAUAGAAAAUGUUAUGAGGGCCCGGCUUUAUCGACAACAACCGCAACGGACGAACCUUAAUCACAUGAAGAUUUCAAGGCUUUUUAAGAAAAAUUAGACGGCAAAACCAUGUGACUCCCUACCCAUUAAUCAAGCGUUAUUUAGAAAAAAUAAUAAAAUCUCAUCUCUCUCUAAUAUUAUUAAAAUAAAGCUUAUAUUAAAAAAGAAAAGAAAAAAGAGAAACCUAAACCCUUGACAUCACAGAAAAAGCAGACUAAGAGUCAGACCUCAUUAUAUAAAAACCUUAUGCUGGAAAACCCCUUGGGAAAAACCAACACAAGGAUCCUAUAUAUAUAUAUAUAUAUAUAUAUAUAUAUAUAUAUAUAU
rnacentral:lncRNA from 1 species